rnacentral:misc_RNA from 1 species
AAUUCUCAACCUGAAGGAUUUAUUUCUUUCAAGCUUGGAUGGUGGAGGUUUGCAGGCAAGGACUCUUUGUCAGCUCCUCUUAAAUGCAUUAGCAGAACAGGAUCGGCUUUGGUUUGAUAAUAUAUCUAUGCCAUCGCUGGGUACAAUGACAUUGUUCAGCUUCAAAUUGUCUUUUUGACUGUCUCGCAAAGAGGCAUUACAAUUUAA